rnacentral:rRNA from 1 species
GAUGAACGCUGGCGGCGUGCCUAAUACAUGCAAGUCGAGCGAACGGACGAGAAGCUUGCUUCUCUGAUGUUAGCGGCGGACGGGUGAGUAACACGUGGAUAACCUACCUAUAAGACUGGGAUAACUUCGGGAAACCGUAUCUAAUACCGGAGAAUAUUUUGAACCGCAUGGUUCAAAAGUGAAAGACGGUCUUGCUGUCACGUAUAGAUGGAUCCGCGCUGCAUUAGCUAGUUGGUAAGGUAACGGCUUACCAAGGCAACGAUGCAUAGCCGACCUGAUAGGGUGAUCGCCCACCUGGGAACUUAGACACGGUCCAGACUCCUACGGGAGGCCGCAGUAGGGAAUCUUCCGCAAUGGGCGAAAGCAUGACAGAGCAACCCCGCGCGAGUGAUGAAGGUCUUCGGAUCGUAAAACUCUGUUAUUAGGGAAGAACAUAUUUGUAAGUAACUGUGCACAUCUUGACGGUACCUAAUCAGAAAGCCCCGGCUAACUACGUG